CUGAAAGUUAAGUUCGUUCAAAUAUCACGUAAACAUUAUUAUAUUCUAUAAACAAUAUAAUCUUUUUUUCACGAAAUUGAAUUUAAUAUUUUGUUCCAAAUGAAAAAAAAUAUUUUAAUCAUUGUACUUUAGUAUUUGCCAUUUCAAAACGUCAAUUAUUUGAUAUAUGUCCGAGACAAGAGACCACUUGACAACUCCUAAAUAAGUGUGUUAUGGUAAAUUUUUCUUAAUGGCAGAAUGUAGAUAUAUUAGUGUUGUUUAACGUCAUCUAAGGGAGAAGGGUAUUAUGUGCAGAUAUUUGAGGAUGUUUUUAUAUUUGAACUAGAAAAGCAUUGUGUAUGUUGUACAGAAAAAGUUUAUAGUUAUAGUUAAAAGCAGUGAUAUUUAAUUUGUUAUGUAACGUUUAGCCUUUCCCAUUUUCAAGGAACGACUGAUUGAUUGAUUAGAAAUUGCUUAAAAUCGUGUCAUAGAUUCAUUUAAUAUUAU
rnacentral:lncRNA from 1 species